CCCUCCCAUCCUACCUACACAUGCCCAUUGAGGGAGUUGGGACUAUUAGCCCAAUUUACGGAUGAGGAAACCAAGGUGAGGACCCGGAGGGCUAACAGAGGUGAUGUGAAUUGCCCAGCAUCACCCAACUACAGAAAGGCGAAGACAGAAUUUGAACCAAGGUCAUUGUGAAGGAAAGCCUGUGUUUCUCACCAUCCCACAGCAUGCUCCGGAUUCUUCACCAGACUGAAAGGACACCACAAAUGGGCAUUGUGUAUCAGAUGCCUCUUGCUAGUUAUUUCUACUCUCCCAGUCCUGUGUGGUCCUCAAAAAGUAUUUUCCCCUCCCGGGACCUGUGUUUUCCUCUGUACAAUAGGGCGUGGGCUCAGGGUGGCCCAACCCUAAGCCGUUGCCCGUGGCAGAUGGACUGAUUCUUGGAAUAACCCAGAAGCACGUGUUUAAGA